CGACCAAGGUUCGAUUCGAGCGUAGCGAGAAAGCGUUGCCGCAGGCAACGACCCGAAGGGCGAAGCGCGAAGCGCUGAGUAAUCCUUCCCCCACCACCA
rnacentral:sRNA from 1 species